rnacentral:tRNA from 1 species
GCCGCCGUAGCUCAGUGGUAGAGCGCACCCUUGGUAAGGGUGAGGUCACGGGUUCAAAUCCCGUCGGUGGCU